GGGUGCAGCGGGCUCCCGCUGCAGGCACUCGGAUGGUCGGGCCGCCAUCC
rnacentral:ncRNA from 12 species